UACGUAGGGUGCGAGCGUUGUCCGGAAUUAUUGGGCGUAAAGAGCUCGUAGGCGGUUUGUCGCGUCUGCUGUGAAAACUCGGGGCUUAACCCCGGGCCUGCAGUGGGUACGGGCAGACUAGAGUGCGGUAGGGGAGACUGGAAUUCCCGGUGUAGUGGUGAAAUGCGUAGAUAUCGGGAGGAACACCAGUGGCGAAGGCGACUAUCUGGGCUGAAACUGACGCUGAGGCGCGAAGGCUAGGGGAGCAAACAGG
rnacentral:rRNA from 1 species